GUAGGGGAAGUAUUAUAUUUUACAUUUCAGUUACAUUGAAAAAAUCCUUAAUUUAGGCCCCUAUA
rnacentral:tRNA from 1 species